rnacentral:tRNA from 1 species
GGGCCCAUAGCUCAGCCAGGUAGAGUGCCGGGCUCCAGAUGAGCUGCAUUGGGUCUUAAGACCCCCUUGUUGGGGGAUGAUAUAGAUCUGGAGGAGAGACCCGGUGGUCCGGGGUUCAAGUCCCCGUGGGCCCA